rnacentral:rRNA from 1 species
CAGAGGGUGCAAGCGUUGCUCGGAAUCAUUGGGCGUAAAGGGUAGGUAGGUGGUCUCGUUUGUCUGGGGUGAAAGCCUUGAGCUUAACUCAAGAAGUGCCUUAGAAACGGCGAGACUGGAGUCUUGGAGAGGGUCGUGGAAUUCCCGGUGUAGCGGUGAAAUGCGUAGAGAUCGGGAGGAACACCAGCGGCGAAGGCGGCGACCUGGACAAGUACUGACACUCAACUACGAAAGCGUGGGGAGCGAACAGGAUUAGAUACCCUGGUAGUCCACGCUGUAAACGAUGGGUACUAGGUUUGGUGGGUCUUGACCCCCGCCGAACCGGCGCUAACGCAAUAAGUACCCCGCCUGGGAAGUACGGUCGCAAGACUA